rnacentral:rRNA from 1 species
AGAGUUUGAUCCUGGCUCAGGACGAACGCUGGCGGCGCGCCUAACACAUGCAAGUCGAACGGGAACUGUCCGGAGCUUGCUUCGGACUGUCUCAGUGGCGGACGGGUGAGUAACGCGUGAGGAACCUGCCUUCCAGAGGGGGAUAACGUCCGGAAACGGACGCUAAUACCGCAUAACGUUCCGGAGCCGCAUGGCUCCGGAACCAAAGGAGCAAUCCGCUGGAAGAUGGACUCGCGUCCGAUUAGCCAGUUGGCGGGGCAACGGCCCACCAAAGCCGCGAUCGGUAGCCGGACUGAGAGGUUGAACGGCCACAUUGGGACUGAGACACGGCCCAGACUCCUACGGGAGGCAGCAGUGGGGGAUAUUGCACAAUGGAGGAAACUCUGAUGCAGCGACGCCGCGUGAGGGAAGACGGUCUUCGGAUUGUAAACCUCUGUCGCCGGUGACGAUAAUGACGGUAACCGGUGAGGAAGCUCCGGCUAACUACGUGCCAGCAGCCGCGGUAAUACGUAGGGAGCGAGCGUUGUCCGGAUUUACUGGGUGUAAAGGGUGCGUAGGCGGCCCUGCAAGUCGGGUGUGAAAACCGUCGGCUCAACUGACGGAUUGCACUCGAAACUGCGGGGCUUGAGUGGAGCAGAGGCAGGCGGAAUUCCCGGUGUGGCGGUGAAAUGCGUAGAGAUCGGGAGGAACACCAGUGGCGAAGGCGGCCUGCUGGGCUUUAACUGACGCUGAGGC